rnacentral:rRNA from 1 species
AUUGAACGCUGGCGGCAGGCCUAACACAUGCAAGUCGAGCGGAGCGGCGGAAGGGGGAGUAUUGCCUAGGAAUCUGCCCGUUAGUGGCGGACAACGACCGGAAAUGGGCCACAUUACAGCAUACUAUCAGUUUAGCCUAGGGCGGAUUAGCUAGUUGGCGGGGUAAAGGCCUACCAAGGCGACGAUCCGUAGCUGGUCUGAGAGGAUGAUCAGUCACACUGGAACUGAGACACGGUCCAGACUCCUACGGGAGGCAGCAGUGGGGAAUAUUGGACAAUGGGCGAAAGCCUGAUCCAGCCAUGCCGCGUGUAUGAAGAAGGUCUUCGGAUUGUAAAGCACUGUAAGUAGGGAAGCGUUACCGACAGAAUAAGCACCGGCUAACUACGUGCCAGCAGCCGCGGUAAUAC